GAUGAACGCUGGCGGCGUGCCUAAUACAUGCAAGUCGAGCGAACAGAUGAGGAGCUUGCUCCUCUGACGUUAGCGGCGGACGGGUGAGUAACACGUGGUUAACCUACCUAUAAGACUGGGAUAACUUCGGGAAACCGGAGCUAAUACCGGAUAAUAUAUUAAACCGCAUGGUUCAAUAGUGAAAGACGGUUUUGCUGUCACUUAUAGAUGGAUCCGCGCCGCAUUAGCUAGUUGGUAAGGUAACGGCUUACCAAGGCGACGAUGCGUAGCCGACCUGAGAGGGUGAUCGGCCACACUGGAACUGAGACACGGUCCAGACUCCUACGGGAGGCAGCAGUAGGGAAUCUUCCGCAAUGGGCGAAAGCCUGACGGAGCAACGCCGCGUGAGUGAUGAAGGUCUUCGGAUCGUAAAACUCUGUUAUUAGGGAAGAACAAAUGUGUAAGUAACUAUGCACGUCUUGACGGUACCUAAUCAGAAAGCCACGGCUAACUACGUG
rnacentral:rRNA from 1 species